rnacentral:rRNA from 1 species
GAUGAACGCUAGCGGCAGGCCUAAUACAUGCAAGUCGAACGGAUAUAUGUUUUCGGAAUAUAUAUUAGUGGCGCACGGGUGAGUAACACGUACAUAACUUGCCCUCAAGCGGGGGAUAGCCUUGGGAAACUGAGAGUAAUACCCCAUAGAAUUAUUGGACGGCAUCGUUUGAUAAUUAAACCUACGGUGUUUGGGGAUAGAUGUGCGUCUGAUUAGCUAGUUGGUGAGGUAACUGCUCACCAAGGCGACGAUCAGUAGGGGGCGUGAGAGCGUGGCCCCCCACACGGGUACUGAGACACGGACCAGACUCCUACGGGAGGCAGCAGUGGGGAAUAUUGGGCAAUGGGCGGAAGCCUGACCCAGCCACACCGCGUGAGUGAUGAAGGCCUUCGGUUGUAAGACUCUGU